rnacentral:rRNA from 1 species
AUUGAACGCUGGCGGCAGGCCUAACACAUGCAAGUCGAACGAGUGGCGGACGGGUGAGUAAUGUCUGGGAAACUGCCCGAUGGAGGGGGAUAACUACUGGAAACGGUAGCUAAUACCGCAUACCAUCGGAUGUGCCCAGAUGGGAUUAGCUAGUAGGUGGGGUAACGGCUCCCCAAGGCGACGAUACCUAGCUGGUCUGAGAGGAUGACCAGCCACACUGGACCUGAGAGAAGGUCCAGACGCCUACGGGAGGCAGCAGUGGGGAAUAUUGCACAAUGGGCGCAAGCCUGAUGCAGCCAUGCCGCGUGUAUGAAGAAGGCCUUCGGGAUGUAAAGUACUUUCAGCGAGGAGGCGUUACUCGCAGAAGAAGCACCGGCGAACUCCGUGCCAGCAGCCGCGGUAAUUC